UACGUAGGGCGCAAGCGUUGUCCGGAUUUAUUGGGCGUAAAGAGCUCGUAGGCGGUUUGUCGCGUCUUCCGUGAAAACUGGGGGCUUAACUUCCAGCUUGCGGUGGAUACGGGCUGACUGGAGUGCGGCAGGGGAGACUGGAAUUCCUGGUGUAGCGGUGAAAUGCGCAGAUAUCGAGAGGAACACCUGCGGCGAAGGCGGGUUGCUGGGCCGACACUGACGCUGAUGCGCGAAAGCCAGGGAGCGAACGGG
rnacentral:rRNA from 1 species